UACGAAGGGGGCUAGCGUUGCUCGGAAUUACUGGGCGUAAAGCGCACGUAGGCGGAUUGUUAAGUCGGGGGUGAAAUCCUGGAGCUCAACUCCAGAACUGCCUUCGAUACUGGCGAUCUCGAGUUCGGGAGAGGUGAGUGGAACUGCGAGUGUAGAGGUGAAAUUCGUAGAUAUCCGCAAGAACACCAGUGGCGAAGGCGGCUCACUGGUCCGGUACUGACGCUGAGGUGCGAAAGCGUGGGGAGCAAACAGG
rnacentral:rRNA from 1 species